UAUUUUUUAAAAAUAAUGUGCAAUUGAGCUUGAAUUACGGUAUUAGAAACGUAGCGGAUAUAAUUUGAAAGGUCACAUAAUUCUAUGAAUGGGAUAGUAAAUUAAUUGGGUCAUAGUGCUUGACGGCUUGCAAUAUUUAACUUACUCAUCCGCCUUAUCAUCACAUUUUUUUGUAUCAUAUUCCAGAAAUUUUUGAAAAAGACAUUAUUUAUCGGAUAAAUUUUGUAGUUUAUAAUUGCAAAGUGGAUAUUGAAAUAGAAUUAGCCAGAGAUGUAGAUAAUCUAUUCGUCUCUGAAUUAGCCGAUAAUUAGGUUAAAUGAAUCCGACAACUUCCGGUAUAUUUUUUGACCUACUUCACGAGCAUAAUUAUCAGCCUGUUAAGCUCAUAAGGGAAAUAAAAGAUCAUUUACUUUAAUAUUCACUUGGAAAGGCUGGUACAUGUAGCUAGAAAAAAGUACAGUAUAAGAUUAAACAAAGACUAGAAGAUUAUUACAAACAACAGGUGGACAUGUGUCACUGUCAAGCGAAUGAAGAUAAGCAUCACACUCGGUGGGAAUCUCCAGUUUCCAGAUGUAGUGAUCAUAACUGUAUAGGCACCAUUAACACUUUGGACUAGUUGGAGUAUUUUAGAGGGCUAGUCUGAAUUGAAUCCCCUGUCAAUAGUAAAGGCCAGUCAUGAACAUUGUGUUGAUGGAAAAUGUUAAAACUCGGAUUUCCCGCUUAACCAAUCAUUACUUUACCUUAUAUUCAGUGCGGUAAUGUAGGAAAUGGUUACUUUCUGGAACGGAGCUGUCAAUUAUUUUUAAUUUUUGUGUCGCCUUGAAAAGGUGACAUAUAGGGGUUACUUUCGUCGGCGUCUGUGUCGGCGUCGUUGUCGGCGUCGUUGUCGGCGUCCCCUAAAGCUUGUCCGGAGCAUAACUCAGUCACUAUAAGUCUGAUUGACUUCAAACUUGGUAUGCAUGCUUCUUUCAAUAACCCGAAGUGCAGUGCACAAGGACCGGUACUCUGCAGUUCUUAUUUUUUGAGUUAUUGCCCUUUGUUAAUUUUCAUACAUUAAUUUUGUCCGGGCCAUUUCUCUUCAACUAAAAAUGCUAUGGACUUGAAACUUCAUAGGAUGAUAGAUCUCAUUAAGAAGAAAUGCAGUGCACAAGAACCAGUACUCUGCACUUCCUAAUUUUUGAGUUAUUGCCCUUUGUUAAUUUUCAUACUUUAUUUUUGUCCGGGCCAUUUCUCCUAAUGUAUAAAAGCCAUGGACUUGAAACUUCAUAGGAUGAUAGGUCUCAUUAAGAAGAAGUGCAGUGCACAAGAACUGGUACUCUGCAUUUCUUAUUUUUUGAGUAAUUGCCCUUUGUUUAUUUUCAUACUUAAAUUUUGUCCGGGCCAUUUCUCCUUAAAUAUAAAAGCUAUGGACUUGAAACUUCAUAGGAUGAUAGAUCUCAUUAUUAAGAAGUGCAGUGCACAAUAAUCGGUACUGUGCAUUUCUUAAUUUUUGAGUUAUGGCCCUUUGUUAAUUUUCAUACUUAAUUUUUGUCCAGGCCAUUUCUCCGAAAGUAUAAAAGUUAUGGACUUGAAACUUCAUAGGGUGAUAGAUCUCAUUAAAAAGAAGUGCAGUGCAUAAGAACUGAUACUCUGCAUUUCUUAUUUUUGAGUUAUUGCCCUUUGUUGAUUUUCUUACUUUAUUUUUGUCCUGGUCAUUUCUCCUCAAGUAUGAAAGCUAUGGACUUGAAACAUCAUAGAAUGAUAGAUGUUAUUGAUAAGAAGUGCAGUGUACAGAAACUGCUGCUUAGACUGCACUUAUUAUUUUUUUAGUUAUUGCCCUUUGUUAUUUUUCAUAUUUCAUUUUUGUCCUGGCCAUUUCCCCUAAACUAUAUUGUUCACAAGGCGACACAUCCGACUCGCGGAGUUCUAGUUUAGCUUGUUAGUGUUAUCGUCGGACAGUUGUGAAGUAAAGACAUCGCAGUUUGACUGUAUACAAGUUGCCUUAAAGAAAGUAUGUCGAAAUCUUAACAGUUAUUCGUUGAUUUUGUAGAAAUUGACCAGAAUUCACCUUUGUUUACACGCAUCGCUUGGACGUCGAAAACGACAUGCAAUGACAUUUCAGUGAAAUUUGGAAACUUGCUCGUAUUUUGGAGCAUUUUGUAGGAUUUCGAUGAAGUAAAAAGUGUUUAUGAUAGGAUACAUUAUUCCUAGAGACAACCACAAAAAUAAAAUAGUGAUCUGGUGUAUUUUUACCGAACAGUUCUUGUUUGUUUUGCAUGAUAUUUUUCUCUCGUUAGGGACCUUUAUUCUUUAUAUAUAGUAUUAUGAGCGUAUAUGGGUAAAUGUGGUAUAUAGUGCCUGUGGUUUUAUCAUGUAUCUUAGCUUGCCUGGUGUAAUGAUAAGUAAUAAACCUGAGAAUUGAAACUA